rnacentral:misc_RNA from 1 species
GAUGAAGAACGUAGCGAAAUGCGAUAAGUAAUGUGAAUUGCAGAAUUCAGUGAAUCAUCGAAUCUUUGAACGCACCUUGCACCCUUUGGACUGCUCCAAAGGGUAUGCUCGUUUGAGUGUCAUUGUACUCUCACACUCUCUGAUCCUUUGGAUUUGGGGAGCAGUGGACUUGGGUGCUUGCUGCUUCCUUGUGGCUCACCUGAAAUGCGUCAGUGCAUCUCUUGAUUGGACAUAGUACGGCGUGAUAAGUGUCUUCGCCGGCACCUCAUAAGAGGGUGGCCGAUCGGGAGCUCUGUGCUUUCAAACCGUCUUCGGACAAUCCCUGACAACUUGACCUCAAAUCGAGUAGGACUACCCGCUGAACUUAAGCAUAUCAAUAAGCGGAGGA